CGAGAACAUUUUGAAUUAUCUGGCACGAGGCAUCACACGUCAAACUUCAACUGACACAACGGUCUCGGUGAAGGGAAUAAGCAAAAGCUCCUUUAAAUUUCGUCAUUUUUUAUACACAUCCCGUUUAUUUUGUAGUUAAUUGUUAGAUAAGUAAGUAAUUUCGUCAAGUUUUCGUUACAGAGUAAGAUUUCGUUAUCAUCGUUACCAUAUACAGUAUUUAUAUUGGUUCAAGAGCGCAGUUUGAUAACUCAUUCAAGGGGGUUCUGUUCCUGCAGUCUUCCAGCAAUACUGGCGCGUAUGACGAUGCGGACACGAACUGCACACUACAGUAUACCGCCGCCUACUGUACUGUAGUAAAAUAACGUCCUUUAAACAUCUAAACAUGUCCUCCAAAAAGGUAAGUUCAGCAGAUCAGCUUAUCUUAUUCUGUAAUAUUGAUACUGGUUUGAGAAAAACUAAGAUUAAACAACGUACAUGUUUCCAGGAAAAAGGGAAAAACACUGGAAAACAAUUUCAGCCUAAGGUUUGAGAUGGCUAACUGUGUACAUUGCCUUUGUGUACUGCAAGCUGAACUUACAGAUUUAUAUGGACUUUACUUACAGGUUUCCUGUGCUGUUUUGCUCCAUUUUACAGAACAAAAUAAGGCUGAGGUAGCACCAUCCUUGUGGUUAGAGUGAAAGAAUGUGGGUAUUGAGACCAAAAUAAAUAAUGUGCCAUUCUGGACAAACAGCUGUGGACAAUACAAGCAGUCAGAGUAGCCCAUUUUCUCACACAGAUGAGGAGCAACCAGUAAGAAAAAGCAAAAAGAUGUUUUGAUGUUGCCUGAGGCACCUUAUUCACAUCAGUCAAUUUCUUCCAAUAAUGAAUCAAGAAAUCCUGGAGUGGAGAAUCAUUCUGAAAGUAGACCAAAUACAGGACAACACCACAGCAGUGGUUGGAAAAAUGCAGCAGACAAUGAGCAAACCAAGCUGACUUUCAAAAGAUGAUUCGUUAUCUGUUUCUUCAAAGGGGAGGCAGUUUGGGAGAUGGGAAAUAGGAGGAUGCUUCAGCUACACAGGGCGAAUUUCAGCAGCUCAGUUUCACACUUGCAACUAACAAUGAAUUAUAGUUAGAAGACAACGGAAAUAUUUGACAUGGGAGUCCAGCAGACAGCCAGAGACACGCACACACACGGAGCUGAAGCGCGUUUGACUGACGCGUACGGGAGAUCAGGCACGCGCACGGGAGCUCGCUCGCGCACGCACACACAAACACGGAGCACAGGAAAAUUACACCUGUUCAAUUAAAAUAAAAGAACUUUGUGGUAAACAAUGUUUAGCGUGUCUGAUUUCAUUGGUUGUAAUGAAAUAAAACGAUGUGCUGAGGACUUUAGGCGAACGUCCCCUAAAAGUCCCGAAAGUCCGCUGACCGUCCUGCAAACGUCCUUGUGAAAGUCCGGAGGACGUCUUCGCGGACGUCCGCUCGACGUAACAGGGGACCCUACACGAUAACGUCCAGGGGACGUUCGCAGAGGACAUUUAGGGGACGUCCAGGGGACCUUUUUUUGUUAG